GAUGAACGCUGGCGGCGUGCCUAAUACAUGCAAGUCGAGCGAAUGGAUUAAGAGCUUGCUCUUAUGAAGUUAGCGGCGGACGGGUGAGUAACACGUGGGUAACCUGCCCAUAAGACUGGGAUACUCCGGGAAACCGGGGCUAAUACCGGAUAACAUUUUGAACCGCAUAGUUCGAAAUUGAAAGGCGGCUUCGGCUGUCACUUAUGGAUGGACCCGCGUCGCAUUAGCUAGUUGGUGAGGUAACGGCUCACCAAGGCAACGAUGCGUAGCCGACCUGAGAGGGUGAUCGGCCACACUGGGACUGAGACACGGCCCAGACUCCUACGGGAGGCAGCAGUAGGGAAUCUUCCGCAAUGGACGAAAGUCUGACGGAGCAACGCCGCGUGAGUGAUGAAGGCUUUCGGGUCGUAAAACUCUGUUGUUAGGGAAGAACAAGUGCUAGUUGAAUAAGCUGACACCUUGACGGUACCUAACCAGAAAGCCACGGCUAACUACGUGCCAGCAGCCGCGGUAA
rnacentral:rRNA from 1 species